UUUCCGUAGGUGAACCUGCGGAAGGAUCAUUAUCAUGUAAUUCAGUCCCCUUGGCUGUGUUAUAUAUAUAUCCACUCUGUGUACCUUCUCCUGUUGCUUCCGCUGGGUGUGUAAUCCGCCCGGCGGAAGGGUAAAAAUAACCUCUGAGUAUUGAUGAAAUCUCUGUCUGAACCGAAUAGAAAGAAAAAUGUUAAAACUUUCAGCAACGGAUCUCUUGGUUCUC
rnacentral:misc_RNA from 1 species